AGUGAACGCUGGCGGUAGGCCUAACACAUGCAAGUCGAACGGCAGCACAGUAAGAGCUUGCUCUUACGGGUGGCGAGUGGCGGACGGGUGAGGAAUACAUCGGAAUCUACUUUUUCGUGGGGGCUAACGUAGGGAAACUUACGCUAAUACCGCAUACGACCUACGGGUGAAAGCAGGGGAUCUUCGGACCUUGCGCGAGUGAAUGAGCCGAUGUCGGAUUAGCUAGUUGGCGGGGUAAAGGCCCACCAAGGCGACGAUCCGUAGCUGGUCUGAGAGGAUGAUCAGCCACACUGGAACUGAGACACGGUCCAGACUCCUACGGGAGGCAGCAGUGGGGAAUAUUGGACAAUGGGCGCAAGCCUGAUCCAGCCAUACCGCGUGGGUGAAGAAGGCCUUCGGGUUGUAAAGCCCUUUUGUUGGGAAAGAAAAGCAGCAGGUUAAUACCCCGCUGUUCUGACGGUACCCAAAGAAUAAGCACCGGCUAACUUCGUG
rnacentral:rRNA from 1 species